rnacentral:rRNA from 1 species
AAGAUAUAAAUUAAUAAAUUUAUAAUUAAUAAAAUUAAUUUUAAUAAUAAAAUGGGGGGUUUUAGUAUUAAUUAAGAAAUAAUUAUAAAAUUUAUAGUAUAAUAUUAUUGUAAAAGAAUUUUGAAAUAAUAAUGAAAAAAAAAUUUAUUAAAAAGUAAAUUUUAUUUAUUGUAUCUUGUGUAUCAGAGUUUAUUAAUAAAAUUUUUUAGGGAAAAAUUUCUCGAAUUAAAAAGAGAUAAUUAAUUAAAAAAGUUAUUGUAGCAAAAAUAUUUUUAAUAAUUAAUUUGAAAUGAAAUGUUAGUCGUUUUUUAAUAUAUCUAGUUUUUUUAGAAAAAAAUUUAAUUUUAUAUUUAUUUAAUAAAGUUAAUUAAUUUUUUAAUUAUUUUAAAAUAAAAUUUUAUAUUUUAAGGGAUAAGCUUUAAAUUAAAUUUUUAUAAUUAUUUAAUAAAAUUUAAUUGAAAUUUUUAAAAUUUAUAUUGUUUAAAAAUUUUAAUUUAUUAUAAAUAAUUUCAUUUUAUUAUAAAAUUUUAUUGUUAAUUUAAUUUUUUAUAAAAAAAAUAAUUUUUAAUACAAUAAAAUUAGAUAUAAUGAUAAAAUUAGUAUAAAAUUAUAUUAAAUAAAUAAAUAUAAUAAUUUAUUUAAAUUAAUAAAAAGGAAUUCGGCAAAUAUUUAUAUUCACUUGUUUAUCAAAAACAUGUCUUUUUGAUAAUAAUUUAAAGUCUAAUCUGCCCACUGAUGAAUAUUAAAGGGCUGCAGUAUUUUGACUGUACAAAGGUAGCAUAAUCAUUAGUCUCUUAAUUGGUGACUUGUAUGAAAGAUUGGAUGAAAUAUAUACUGUCUCUAAGUUAAAAUUAGAAUUUAAUUUUUUAAUUAAAAAGUUAAAAUAAAUUUAAAAGACGAGAAGACCCUAUAGAGUUUUAUAAAUAAUUAUAUUAAGAUUAUAUAUAAAUUUAAUAAUUAAAAUAUUAAUUUUUUAUUUUAUUGGGGUGAUAAAAAAAUAAAAAAAACUUUUUUUAAUUUAAAACAUAAAUAAGUGAAUAAAUUGAUCCAAAAUUUUUGAUUAAAAGAAAAAAUUACCUUAGGGAUAACAGCGUAAUUUUUUUUUUUAGUUCAAAUAAAAAAAAGAGUUUGCGACCUCGAUGUUGGAUUAAGAUAAAAUUUAAAUGCAAAAGUUUAAAAUUUUGAUCUGUUCGAUCAUUAAAAUCUUACAUGAUCUGAGUUCAAACCGGUGUGAGCCAGGUUGGUUUCUAUCUUUAAAUAAAUAAAAUAUUUUAGUACGAAAGGAUCAAAUAUUUAAAUUAAAUUUAUUAGAAUUGAAUAUUAUUAAAUAAUUUAUUAUAGAAA